CUUUCCUGUAGCAACACUGAAAGCUCAGCCAAGAUGAAGGAACAGCUUAGCUGUAUAUGGAUAGCCAUUUUAGAUAAAUUCAAUAACAGAGCUACUGCAAGCGACUUUUAGUCAAAUCCAUUUAUCCUUUGCUGAAAUUUCCGCUUCUUCAUGGAGAGCGCAGGCCAUGCUGCUUAGCAACGGGAGACGCCUUUUGGAGCGCAAUGCACUUAGCGUUUUCCACGCGUUUUUAGGCGCGACAUGUGAACGGCCCCUUAAGAGCUCUUAAAAUGCAGGGCCACAACAACAACACUGGCAGCAAUAGCAACAGGGUAAACAACAGCGACUGUGUGACAACAGAUGAAUGGACUUCAAACAGAGAGACAAACCAAUGCGGAUCAAAGAUGGGUGCGCAUGGCAACACCAGAAAACAGUGUGUGUUAUCAGCUGGUCGAACUUAUCUUCCCCUCUCCUGAAUCUCUUCCAUCAGCAGGUAGAUUAUACUCGUCACCUGCGAGCACUUCAAAGCGCUGGAGAUCUGGAGACCACAAGCGAGCGUGUUAUCCAGCGGCGGGAUCAACACUGGGCCCCGUCACGCCGAGUCCUGUGUAGUUCAGCCAGGGGGAACUGGGAAAGGAAGAGGAAAGAGCUGGAACACUUGCGAUGAUAGUCACCUUCUCUCCCCGAUUAUCUUUGGUGAUUGAGGAAACGUGCCUCGCUGCAGUCCACACACCCAUACACUGUCAAUGGAGGGAAAAGUCUUUAGUGCUCCCUUACAAAAAGCACUCCUAUCUGUUUUCAGGAAAAAAAACAAGGGUGUUGUAGAUAUGGUAAACACAUAACACAUACUCCAUCCAAGUUUAUGUGCAACAACACUGGCUGAGGUAACCGCCUGGCCAAAGGUUUAAUUCUUUUGUAAUUCCAGGUGAGAGAGUGGACAUUAUGAACUGCGGGCAAGAGCUCUUUGCAGAAAUGAGCCCAUAAAAGAUUAAAACACGAAGAAAGUAAUCUCACAUAAAGGGGCAUACAGGAAAAUGAAACACUUUAAAUUGGUAUGCUUUAUAAUUCAUAGAAACGACAUCGGUGUGGAAUGCUUUUGCUGUGCUCAAACCUAAAACGUUUUUCAUGCUGGAAACAGUGUUGAUAAGUAUGGAUCGUGACAGAUGAUUUGCAGGUAGGCAAACCUAAUGCAACAUGGAACGCAAAUGGAGCAAAGAGCCGCUGUUUUUUUUUUUCUCUCUCUCUCUCUCUCUGAUUUUAAAUUAAGUUUCUCUCCUCUGGGACGGACCAUCAGGCUGGA
ensembl:lncRNA